AGAAUAUGUCAGCUUUCCCUAAAAGUGUUAUAUCUUAUUAAAUAUCCUCAUUCAGUAUUAGUAGAUGAUAUUCAUAUGUUUUGUGUCAAAUAUGUCUGGGAAAUUCUCAAUAUAAAAUAUUGAUUAGAUGCUUUUACUACAGGACUUAUCAGAGCCUUGACAUGUUACUUGAAUGCAGUGAAUUUCCAAAAACAAAAAAAUAGAAGAGAUGGUAACAUGCAGUGCUUCAUCAGCUGAGAAAAUCAGCCCUGGUUCCCUUCAUGCUAUAAUGCUGACCCUCAUCAGAAGAUGCUUUACUUCCUGUUGUUGAUUUGAGAGUCUGAUGAAAGUAUAUUUUGCCAGAAAGUACUCAAUUUGGAGCAAAGAAGAUUUUUCUAUGUAUAUAAUUUAGCCAACUUCGAUCAUUUCACUGAGAACCUCAGAAAUGAUGGUGUGACCCCCAUGAACAAAGCCACAGGUAAAGAGAUGAACCAAGAGAGUCUUUAUUCCUGGAAUUGAUUUCUGUACAAUGCAUUGGGGAGAUAUUAGACUUCUUCAAGACAUUGAACAUGCUGAAAAUGCCAAUUAAGUUCACUCUGGCAACUUCAAAAGGAGCCGUGGGUCAGCAGGCACAGUCAAAUCAGCCUUCAUAAGAAAGACAAGGAGAUAAAAACCAGUCAUUCAUGCCACGGGAGUACUGAGGAAGCUGCAUCAGAGGCCGUGCGGAGCCAGCCUCAUGGGACGGCAUCGCUGGUCCCUGCACCACGACCAGCCUCUCCCCGAGAAUUGGUCCCCAGGGAUCCGCCCUCGAUUUUGGAAGUAUUUCUGGUGCCUCAACUCAAAUCUGUCCCUCCAGUCUUCCUGAAGGACUGAAUCACACGUCUACCCCAGACAGGUUCCUAGUCGAGUUGAGUGGGAUUGCCCAGACUGGCUUUGACACACCGCAUUUCAUUUCUAGAGGUGGGUACAAAAUAGGACUUCUGUUACUAAGAAGGAAGGAGAAUGACUUUGAGUGGGCAGUGACCACGGUCUCCCUCCCUGGAUAACCUCACUCUGCAAAGUGGCCUGAGUCCUCGCUGAAGCAUGUCUAAAAACCAGGUGUAUAUUUAAGAAUAAAGACUCAACUGCAGACGAUUCUCCAUAAAGAGAGAGGUGGUAAAUAUUUUAGACUUAGUGGGUUAUGUAGUUUCCAU
rnacentral:lncRNA from 1 species